rnacentral:rRNA from 1 species
CGGAGGGUGCAAGCGUUGUCCGGAUUUAUUGGGUUUAAAGGGUGCGUAGGCGGCCCGUUAAGUCAGUGGUGAAAGCCUCCAGCUCAACUGGAGAACUGCCAUUGAUACUGACGGGCUUGAGUACAGACGAGGUUGGCGGAAUUGAUUGUGUAGCGGUGAAAUGCAUAGAUACAAUCAAGAACUCCGAUUGCGUAGGCAGCUAACUAGGCUGUAACUGACGCUGAGGCACGAAAGCGUGGGGAGCGAACAGGAUUAGAUACCCUGGUAGUCCACGCUGUAAACGAUGAUUACUCGAUGUCGGCGAUAAACUGUCGGCGUCUUAGCGAAAGCGUUAAGUAAUCACCUGGGGAUACGCCCGCAAGGGUG